rfam:Salmo salar isolate Sally breed double haploid chromosome ssa03, whole genome shotgun sequence.
UGGCUCAGUUGGUAGGGCAUGGUGUUUGCAACGCCAGGGUUGUGGGUUCGAUUCCCAU